CAACAAAGUGCCCAGCCAUGUGACCAGGAGAAGUGACAUCACCAGCAAGCCUCUGCAAGGGAGCUGUGUCACAGAGGUGGUUGUGGCCUCAAUGCACUCUCAUUCCAACCAGUCACCUUGAUGCUAAAAGGGCUCUAGGUACGCUCUCAUGCUGCUUUGAGGUAGCUCCAAAACAGUUUACUUCAGAAUAUUUGGAUACGUAUAGACUCAGCUGAAUUUCACCCAAAAUGAAAUAUGAAAGCAAACUUGGAAGCUUCAGAAAUUUGUGAUUAGUACAGCAUAAUCUAUCUAUUAGUACCCAUAAUCUAUCUAUCUAUCUAUCUAUCUAUCUAUCUAUCUAUCUAUCUAUCUAUCUAUCUAUCUGCCGGGCUGUGGCGCAGGCUGUUGAGCAACCAGCUGCAGCCAGCUGCAAUGAAUCACUCUGACCAGGAGGUCAUGAGUUCGAGGCCAGCUCGGAGCCCCAUGUUUGUCUUGUCUUUGUUCUAUGUUAAGGCAUUGAAUGUUUGCCUUAUAUGUGUAAUGUGAUCCGCCCUGAGUCCCCUUCGGGGUGAGAAGGGUGGAAUAUAAAUACUGUAAAUAAAUAAAUAAAUCAAUAAAUAUUAACUACUUAUGUAAGUUUGCCUGUCUGCUGGUACCAUAAAGGCUGUUGCUAAGUGAAGUAGCCCUCUGAUGUCAGUGGAAAAGAAAUGUUAUGUGUAUGAAGGAAAAGGAUGAAGGAAGAGAAAGAAAAAAAAGAAGGUAAGAGGAAGGAAGGAAAGAAUGAGAGAAGCGGAGGAAAUGUGCAUGAGGGAAAGCAAGGGAAAAAGAAAGAGCCACAAAGAGAGCCUGCCCACUGUUGCCAGAGUUUUGCCAUGUGUGUAUUGUGAUCCGCCCUAAGUCCCCUUCGGGGUGAGAAGGGUAGAAUAUAAAUGCUGUAAAUAAAAUAAAACUGCAAAGGAAGGGGAUGUAGUAUGUUACAAGGGUUGGUAUAGAACUGCAACAUCCCCAGGCUGUAUCAAAGAAGGUGCUUAGGCAAUGGCCUCUUUGUCCUUGACUUGAUCCAUUUGUUCCCUGUUCCAGAAGCAAAACAUGUCUCGUAAAACAUUGGCAAGGUAGGCAGUGACUUCCACUGACUAAGGGCCCUUUCACACAGCCAUAAAACCCAGAAUAUCAAGGCAGAAAAUCUGACAAUAUCUACUUUGAACUGGGUUAUUUUUGUCCACAUUGCCAUAUAUUCCAGUUCAAAGCAGAAAAUGUGGGAUUUUGUUCAGCUGUAUGGAAGGAGGCCCCAGGUGGUGUAGUGGGUUAAACUGCUGAGCUUCUGAACUUGCUGACCCAGCUUCUGCCAGCCUGGCAGUUCAAAAACAUACAAAUGUGAGUAGAUCAGUAGGUACUGCUCCAGUGGGAAGGUAAUAGCACUUCAUGCAGUCAUGCCGGCCACAUGACAUUGGAGGCAUUUAUUGACAACACUGGCUCUUUAGCUUAGAAAUGGAGAUGAGCACCAGUCCUCAAAAUUGAACACGACUAGACUUAAUGUCAGGGGAAAACCUUUACCUUUACCUAUGGAAAGGGCUUAAAAUGUCACUGUAGUGGUGUACCACUUCCUUUGCCUCUUAUGCUUGAGGACACUUUCAUGGCUGCAAUUUAAAACAGGUCUUUAAAACUUUACUGUGAUCUGGGGCCAUUUUCUCUUUCUAUCAGAUCUCUGUGGACUACAAUCCCAAUAUCCUUCACUACGACUAGUGAUAUCUAGCCAAAGCAGUUAAGAAGUCUUUCUGAAAAUAGUAUUCAAUUGCCCAAAUUCUCUCUUCUUCAGAGGCUUCUGAAUGCAUAAUUAGCCAACUUUGUGCCUUCCCAAAAAGAGUUUGUGGGAGAGGGUUUCUGAUGGGGGUCCAAUGUCAACAUGAAUUUUGCAGAUCACAUUUUUCCCAUUUUCAUUUGAAAUUAGAGUUGAAGACUUAACUGUUGUUUUUACAGUGGUUCCUUGGCAUCUACU
rnacentral:lncRNA from 1 species